rnacentral:rRNA from 1 species
UGGGGAAUAUUGCACAAUGGGCGCAAGCCUGAUGCAGCCAUGCCGCGUGUAUGAAGAAGGCCUUCGGGUUGUAAAGUACUUUCAGCGGGGAGGAAGGGAGUAAAGUUAAUACCUUUGCUCAUUGACGUUACCCGCAGAAGAAGCACCGGCUAACUCCGUGCCAGCAGCCGCGGUAAUACGGAGGGUGCAAGCGUUAAUCGGAAUUACUGGGCGUAAAGCGCACGCAGGCGGUUUGUUAAGUCAGAUGUGAAAUCCCCGGGCUCAACCUGGGAACUGCAUCUGAUACUGGCAAGCUUGAGACUCGUAGAGGGGGGUAGAAUUCCAGGUGUAGCGGUGAAAUGCGUAGAGAUCUGGGGGAAUACCGGUGGCGAAGGCGGCCCCCGGGACGAAGACUGACGCUCAGGUGCGAAAGCGUGGGGAGCAAACAGG